rnacentral:lncRNA from 1 species
GCUGGCCUACCAUGAGCUGCCCACCAUGAAAAUAAACACUUCCUCACUUAAAUGGUCUAUAUCACAACAACAGAAAAGUAACUAAGAGAAAACUGGUUUUAGGCACUCAUUUCUGUGAACUUGAGAUGGUGUGAUUCUGAGACUGUGUGGGUCUAAGUCUGUUUUUCGGGAGGAAUUGGGAGAAUUUGGAAGAGCUUUGAGAAAGCCUGCAAUCCUGAGAGCAGCUGAAUAGGUGAAUCCAGGGGGAGUCCAGACAGCCAGAAUGAGGUGAGAGUGGGGACUGCAGAGAGACUGCAGCAAGUGCUUUGGCAGGGAUUUCUCUGCACCAUGCCCGUGUCCUGAAAUGUUGUGGAAGAUGAGUUGGAAUGUAAUGGACUAAUUAAUUUGGCAGAGGAAAUUUCCCAUCAGCACAGAAGUCAGGCUGUGGCAUACAUAUUGCCAGCUGCUUUUAGUUGUACAAGUUUCCAGAACCCUAAAAUCCUCCUCCUGUCUGCCUGUGUUCGAGCGUCAGUGCAGGUCCUCCAUGCAGCCUCUGCCUCCCCAGUGUGCUCCGCUAACUGUUCCUGAAGAAGAGCUUCCUAUCUUCCAGAGCUCACAGCAGCAGGCCAGUAUCUGGAUCAAAGAUGGGCCCGUGGGCUAGCACUGAACCCACCCUGGGACAUGAUGGUGACCAGAGCAGUAGUGGAGUUAUGGACCAAACUUGUGCAAUAGAUAGAUCAUUGUUUGAACUGUUGAGAUCUUCCUGCUACCAGCACAACCUGCUCUGCUUUAAAGCACCACACAGUGUCUGCACGUGUUGUAAAACCCAGUGCAUACUAUGGCCAAACAGAGAGCGGUUAACUCUUUUGUAAGAAAAGUAGCUUGCAGGUUGGGAGGAUGUGUAGUCAAAGCUGAGAUGUGACCUAAGAGUUUUGUUGAGCCUCCUUUAGCACAGGUAAGAACCAAGCUACCAAUGCCAUCUCUGGAUGAACCUGGAAGUAUCUCUGUUUCUCCUUUGAGUGUCAUGAUGUCAUGUUGAUGGGAAAUCUCUAGGUUUCCUCUGCCUCUGACCCUAGUAAUCCCAGCUAUUUGAUGGUUGUGUGGCUCAGAGUUAUGAGAAGAGUUGAGUUUCACUGUACCCUUCUGUUUUCCCAAGAUCUUUACUAGUUAUAACAGGAUGAUAACUCACAGAGAAUGAAGAGAAUCCACUUUAAAUGUUUGGUUUGAUGGGUAUGGCCAUGGCCACAGGAAAAUUUAGAGCAUUUCAUCACUCCAGGAGUUUCCCCUGCCCCUGACAGUCUGAACACAGGCUAUCAUUGUUGGGUAGUAUGGUUUGGUUUGAUUUUUAAAUGCUGUAGAAUAUGAUCCCCUGUUCUACCAUUCUUAUCAAUGGAAUAACAGCACUUAUAGCCUUUAUAUCUGAUUUUUUUUUACUCAUCAUGAGGCUUUGGAAAUCCAUCAGUGUGACUGUGUUUAUUCUAAAUAGUCUAUAACAUUGUGUGAACAAUCACAAUUGUCUUAUUCAUUCAUCCCAUAUGGAAUAUCUCACAUGUUCUGUCUCAUGUCACCAUAGGCGAGGCCGCAGAGAAUUUUCCUCUGUACAGUCCAUCUCUUUACAUCUGCAUUUGAGUAGGCACUUCACAAUACCAUUGCCAUCGUUAUGGUAAAUACAACUUCCACUCUGUGAGCACUUACCAGACUGCUUCCCACAGUGCCUUUAGCAUUUGCCAUGUCCACCAGCAGUCAAGCGAGCCAUAAGCUGCAAACAUUGCCUGAAUGUAUUUGCUCAUCAUUUUCUUUUGCUUUGUUUGGCUUUCAGCCUUGUGUAGGUGUGUACUGGUUCUCCUUGUGGCUUUACCUUGUGGCUUUAGCUUACAUAGUCUGGUGACAAAUGGUGUUGCAUGCUUUUCUAUAUUCUCACUAGCAUUUUAUAUGUUGUGAACACUGUUUUAAAACAUUAUUGCCACCUUAAACUCUUUUUCCAUAAUUGAGGUGUGAGAGUUCUUGUCUGUUCCGUUAGCAUGACCAGUGUCAAAGCAGAUACUGCAGGUUUGUCCCCCAGUCUGUGGCAGGACAGAUACCGCAGGUAUGACCCCCAGUCUGUGGUGGGACAUUCUUACUGACUUUGAUGCUAUGUUUUCAAGAUGAGGUUUUAAUUGUUAGUAAACCUUAACUCAUCAUUCUGUGCGUGGUUAUUGUUUUAUUAUGUCUUGUUUUAGAAAUUUCUGAUUACCCCACAGUCCCCAAAACGUGAUCUUGUAGCCUCACAGUGGUGGUAGUCCUAUUAUGAGCCAUUUCCUGUUAACUUUGCCUGUAGCUGGGAUGGGGGCUGGGGCGUUUUACCUGACUAUUUCUCUGUCAUGGUUGAAGACACCCUUUGUAGUCACUGAUCCCUUGUCAUGUUUUCUUCUAACCGCGUAUGUGUGACACAAUGAUAUAAAUAUCUUUUUUCUCUCUUUUAGGUUUUUAAUUUAUUUUAUGUGUAUGGUGCGUCUGUGUAUUGUGUGCAUACAUGUCUGUAGAGGCCUGAAGAAGGUGUUGGAUGCUCUGAACUGCAAGCUACAGUUGUUAGCCGUAGUGUGGUUGUGGGAACCAAACCUGAGUCCUCAAGGCCUGAGCGUAGGAGCUGUGGUACCCCAGCCUGUGCUGUCCUGUGGUCAGGGGUCACUGUCCACUUGGUGAGAGUGAGGUGGCUUUGCUAGCCUUCGUCUCUGUCAGUUCCUACACAGCAGACUGCCCUGUACGCUGGGCAGUCUCUCCAGCCCCAACUGCAGAACUUUCUGACAUAUUCUACCAUAUUAGUCGGAUUCUUACAUUAUUAUUAAUGUGGCCUUUGGUUUUCAUAUCAACGGGUGUUAACCCUCACACACUCUGAUUUUUUUCCAAUGGUUUUCCUAGUACAGAUUCUCAUAAAUUUUAGAAUUAAUAUAGCUACUUUUACUUCAAAUACUUUUAGGACUGCAUUGGCUCAGUAGUUCCAUUUGGAGAUGAUUGACAAAUC